GGGACUGGACUCGAUGACCUCUCGAGGUCCCUUCCAGUCCUAGAAUCUAUGAAUCUAUGCAGAAAGGGUCUCAGUCUUUAAAAAUAAUGCAAAUCCAGGCUAGAAAAAUAACAAAAUGUGUAGCUCUUAUGUGCAUUGCAAUUGUCUUCCUAUUUUGUCCUCACAACUUAACAUCCUAGUACUUUCCAUUAGUUAAUUACUAUAAUACACCUCUCCCUCGAUAUAAUGCUGUCCUCGGGAGCCAAAAAAUCUUACUGUGUUAGAGGUGAAACCGUGUUAUAUUGAACUUGCUUUGAUCAACCGGAAUGCGCAGCCCCCCUCCGGAGCGCUGCUUUACCACGUUAUAUCCGAAUUCGUGUUAUAUCGGGUGGUGUUAUAUCCAGGUAGUGGUGUACCAGAUAAUUGACAGCAUUGGAACAUCACUGAUCAAACAUAAUAUGGAGCCAAAAAUCAUACUUUUUUCUUCAUUUAAAUAAAUGAUUUAUAUAUAAUUCUUUAUUUCAUUAGAAAAAAAAUGAAAGGAUCUCAAGCCAUUUUCCAGCAAUAAUCUUAAAGACAUAGCACUAAUUCAGGAAAACAUUUAGAAACAUUUGCUAAACAUUAGGUCAUGUCAUGAACAGGAGUAAACUUAAGCAUGUUCCUAAAUCCAGGCAAUAACUUGUAGAAGGUUCUGGUGUGUAGGUUAGUUAUCCUAGGCAACUCCUGGUAGCAGUUCAUACAAGAGGGCCUGCUACAACUGUUAAUUAGAAUUGUCUUUUGCAAUUAUGUCUUGUAUUUAACUCUCUUAGAAAAUUACUGCUAUAGCUUCUGAUCGUUACUCAAUUUGUUUUUAACUUACUAAAAUAUUUUCUAAUAGCGAUAUUGUGUCAGAUCACUCCCAUUGUGAGACAUGAUAUUGAUCCAGAGAUUAAAGCCAGAAGGGACCAUUAUGGUCAUCUAGUCUGACCUCAAGCAUUAUACGAGUCCAUGGAAUUUCACUCAGAAAUUCCUGCAGUGGAGGGAAUUAUUCUUGUGUAUAGCAUAUGUGAGACAUGGACAGAGAUAUAUGGGCGUAUAUAAAUUCUCCAAUACAGUAAACUGGUGAAAUUUUGCUCUAGUUUUUAACUGGCAAUUUGAUACAGAAAUUAAUAGCCAGCUGAGAGACUGAGAUCAGCCACCAAAAGAGAGAAGAAAAUGGUAAAUAAGAAAUAAAAGAAGCAAUGAGCUUUUGCCUUACCGGGUGGUAACAUUUUUCCAUUUGAAAAUUUAGAAUAUCAGCAUUUUGUUUUAUUACUUUCAAAUGAACUCUUAAAAAGAAAAAAAAGGAAAAAAGAAAAAGCGAGCUCAGGGUUGGGGCUUCAUUUUUGAGGCUCUAAUAAGUGUGGGGGUACAUUUAAUAUGUGGAUAUUUGUAUGGUAUUUUUUGCUUGAUUUUUCUCUGAACUGCAAAGCAGAGAUUUCAUUGUUUUUAGUAGUUGGAUGCAUCAGCAGAUCCUCUCUGGCAUACUAUCCACAAUUCCUUUAAUGUACAGCAAGAAUAGUUACAACUUUAAUGACCACAAAUGAUCUUAUGGUUCUAGUCCUUUUCAUAAUUAUGUUGGUUCUUAAUAUAUGGGUCACAGCCACAAUAUUGCGUUACCGGAAGACUGAAAAGACUGAUUAGAUGACAGCUUCUCUCCAGCUGCAACAUAUUUCAAACAGUUUGGAUCAAAAAAAAUAUAGUGAAACCUGAAGAGACCUCCAUGUCCAGGCAGCCUUCCGUAUGCCACCUGCCUCAUAUUAUCCCUUAAAAGAUUAAUGACUGUCCAGUUUGGCCAAUGUACAUAGCAGACGGGCAUUGCUGGCACAUGAUGGCAUAUAGAACAUUGGUGGACGUGCAGUUGAACAUGAAUCUCCAGCUACCAAUUAGAUUCAAAACCCAUUCUGGGGAAUAACUGACUCUGUUCCAAAUAAAUAUCUCAGCUCAAGAAAAUCUCUUAGAGUUGUGAAGUCAUCACAUGCUGAAAGCCAAGUUUGCAAACCAAACCAGGAAUCCUGUUUCUGUUAAAGAAGUGUAUGAAGAACUCCCUGAUGAAGUAUGAAAGUGCUGCUUUCAUACGCUUCUAGUUACCUGGGCAAGUCUGGGUUUUCAGCAAUGAUUUCUGUGAAAACUAAUCACCAAAAUGGUUUAAACUUGGAAAAUGACUCACAUCUGGCACUAUCAGAGAUUCAGAAACAUUGAGCAACUGUGCAGUUCAAAACAGGCCCAUUCUGCUCACAAAAAUCUUAGGCCGUGUCCAAACAUGCCAAAGAAUUCAUAUUUUCACAUUAUAGUCUUAAAAACCCAAUUUAGAUUGGAUUAUAUAAUUAAAGAAACUAUGUAGAUGAAUACGGUCACAAAACCAUCCAAACUCUAAUGUCCUGAGUCAGUUAAAAUAAACAAACAAACCUGUAUUUGACUGUGGGAGCCAAGUUUUAAAAUAUCUGUAAGGGAGCUACAGACUAUUCUCCUUGAGCCACACAAUAUCCCAAGAUGUCUUCUCCUUCCCUGACCACUGUGGCAAUAGUGAUUGCUGAGAACUGAGACUCUUUUCAAAACAGGGAGAUGAGCUCUAAAGAAGAUAGAAAAAAGCAUUCCCGCAGGACAGAACAGGCUUUCUGCAGGAUAUUACAGAUUCACAUUUGAGGAAUUUCACCUGAUAAAACGUACUUAUCCACUGUUAAGAUAAACUCCUAGGUUCUUUGAUACAUCACAAUCAAUCCAAGAUUUGAAAAAGUUCCAGAGCUAGAUGCGACUGCAAGUUGAGAGGAGCCUCCAUUUAACUAGUCCUCUUAACAAGGCAUGAUUGCUAUCCCCUUCUUCAGAAGGAAGAUUAUUAUCCAGUCAUCCUUCCUGCCAAUGUAUAUGGAGCUAAAGAAAAAAAUGUAUUGAAGAUUUGGAGCCACUAGACUGAAUGUCACUUACUUCUUGUGAAGGACCAUGAAGAUAUGGAGGGACACUGGACUUUAGAAUGCAAAGACGUGGCUCCGAAUAUAUGAAGCACCUCCAUAAAUUGGAGGUAUCGAGAGUUCGCCAAGAUAAUCAGUGUGACAAGCUGACAUUCCUGCAAUAUCCUGAAUAAACCGUACUGAAUUGAAUUUA